CUACGGGUGGCAGCAGUGAGGAAUACUGGUCAAUGGGCGGGAGCCUGAACCAGCCAAGCCGCGUGAAGGAAGAAGGCGCCAGGCGUCGUAAACUUCUUUUGUCGGGGAACAAAGGGCGCCACGCGUGGCGUUGUUAGUGUACCCGAAGAAAAAGCAUCGGCUAACUCCGUGCCAGCAGCCGCGGUAAUACGGAGGAUGCGAGCGUUAUCCGGAUUUAUUGGGUUUAAAGGGUGCGUAGGCGGUCCGGAAAGUCAUCGGUACAAGCCCGGGGCCAAACCCCGGCGAGCCGUUGAAAAUGUCGGACUAGAGACGGCGAGAGGUACGCGGAAUGCGCGGUGUAGCGGUGAAAUGCGUAGAUAUCAGGAGGAACACCGGUGGCGAAGGCGGCCUGCUGGACUGCAACUGACGUUGAGGCCCGAAAGCGUGGGGAGCAAACAGGAUUAGAUACCCCUGUAGUC
rnacentral:rRNA from 1 species